GCAGGCUGCAACUCGCCUGCAUGAAGUCGGAAUUGCUAGUAAUCGUAGGUCAGCAUACUACGGUGAAUACGUUCCCGGGCCUUGUACACACCGCCCGUCAAACCAUGAGAGUUGGCAACACCCGAAGUCGGUAGUCUAACCGCAAGGAGGACGCCGCCGAAGGUGGGGUUGAUGAUUAGGGUUAAGUCGUAACAAGGUAGC
rnacentral:rRNA from 1 species